GAUGUCUGAUUAGCUAGUUGGUGAGGUAAAGGCUUACCAAGGCUWCGAUCAGUAGCUGGUCUGAGAGGACGACCAGCCACACUGGGACUGAGACACGGCCCAGACUCCUACGGGAGGCAGCAGUGGGGAAUUUUGGACAAUGGGGGAAACCCUGAUCCAGCCAUGCCGCGUGAGUGAAGAAGGCCUUCGGGUUGUAAAGCUCUUUCAGCCGGAACGAAACGGUCACGGCUAAUACCYGUGACUACUGACGGUACCGGAAGAAGAAGCACCGGCUAACUACGUGCCAGCAGCCGCGGUAAUACGUAUGGUGCAAGCGUUAAUCGGAAUUACUGGGCGUAAAGCGUGCGCAUGCGGUUUUGUAAGUCAGAUGUGAAAUCCCCGGGCUUAACCUGGGAACU
rnacentral:rRNA from 1 species